rnacentral:rRNA from 1 species
AUUGAACGCUGGCGGCAUGCCUUACACAUGCAAGUCGAACGGCAGCACGGGAGCUUGCUCCUGGUGGCGAGUGGCGAACGGGUGAGUAAUACAUCGGAACGUACCCUGAAGUGGGGGAUAACGUAGCGAAAGUUACGCUAAUACCGCAUAUUCUGUGAGCAGGAAAGAGGGGGAUCGCAAGACCUCUUGCUUUAGGAGCGGCCGAUGUCGGAUUAGCUAGUUGGUGAGGUAAAGGCUCACCAAGGCGACGAUCCGUAGCGGGUCUGAGAGGAUGAUCCGCCACACUGGGACUGAGACACGGCCCAGACUCCUACGGGAGGCAGCAGUGGGGAAUAUUGGGCAAUGGGCGCAAGCCUGACCCAGCAACGCCGCGUGAGGGAAGAAGGGCUUUCGGGGUUGUAAACCUCUGUCCUUGGUGACGAAACAAAUGACGGUAGCCAAGGAGGAAGCCCCGGCUAACUACGUGCCAGCAGCCGCGGUAAU